rnacentral:sRNA from 1 species
UUGACAGCCGUGUAGACUGCUGUCUUCUUUCCCACAGAACAGGGAUAGCACGGCAAGGGUCUGCCAAUGAACUUCUAUCCCAAACUGGAGGGGCCUCUUCUAGGAGUGAGGGGGGAGUUCAUCUCCAUGUCCCAUUCAGUCCUUGGGCUCU